UAUGACUUGUGCUCAACCACAUUCUGGC
rnacentral:piRNA from 1 species